rnacentral:rRNA from 1 species
AUGGACAAUAGGUUUUGGGCCAAGAUCAACCUGCUAGUGAACUAUUUUGAGCCACUUGCAAAUGUGCUUAGGAGGGUUGAUGGAGACACCCCAGCCAUGGGUUUUUUAUAUGGUGAUCUUCUACAAGCAAAGCAAGAAAUAGCAGCAAGGCUGAAUCACAUUGAGAACAAAUAUGUUCCUAUUUGGGAGAUCAUAGAUAGCAGGUGGGAUAACAAGAUGAAAACUGCAUUGCAUAAAGCUGGGUAUUUCUUGAACCCUUUCUUCUACUAUGACAGACAGAAUGAAAUGGCAGAAGAGGAUUUCCUGGAAUCAGUCAUAGAAUGUGCAUCUAUUAUGUACAAAAAUGACACAGAGGUGCAAGACAAUAUUGUAUCACAGCUUAGUUAUUAUACUGAAGCCAUAGAUUCAUUUGGAACUGAGAUGGCCAUUAGACAACGCAAGGUAGCAACUAUCAGCCCUGGUAAGAAGACUAUAACUUGCAAAGUUCCUUCUUGA